GUCGAACGCUGGCGGCGUGCCUAAUACAUGCAAGUAGAACGCUGAAGGCGGCGCUUGCUUCUCUGGAUGAGUUGCGAACGGGUGAGUAACGCGUAGGUAACCUGCCUGGUAGCGGGGGAUAACUAUUGGAAACGAUAGCUAAUAACGCAUAAGAGUAGCUGUUGCAUGACAUUUGCUUAAAAGGUGCAAUUGCAUCACUACCAGAUGGUCCUGCGUUGUAUUAGCUAGGUGGUGGGGUAACGGCUCAACUAGGCGACGAUACAUAGCCGAACGGAGAGGGGGGGCGGCCACACUGGGACGGAGACACGGCCCAGAGUCCCACGGGAGGCAGCAAGAGGGAAUCGGCGGCAAUGGGCGGAAGUCUGACCAAGCAACGCGGCGUGAGGGAAGAAGGUUUUCGGAUCGGAGAGAUCGGUUGUAAGGGAAGAACGAGUGUGAGAGUGGAAAGUUCACACUGUGACGGUACCUGACCAGAAAGGGACGGCUAACUACGUG
rnacentral:rRNA from 1 species